UUCUUAUCCAGAGAGACUGAGGGACAGGCCCUAUGAAGUCUCGGCAACAGAUUCGCGUAUGAACACUGUGCCAAUUCCUACAAGCAUCAUUUGCUUGAAAGAUGAGAA
rnacentral:ncRNA from 2 species